rnacentral:rRNA from 1 species
GACGAACGCUGGCGGCGUGCUUAACACAUGCAAGUCGAGCGGUAAGGCCCUUUCGGGGGUACACGAGCGGCGAACGGGCGAGUAACACGUGGGUGACCUGCCCUCAGCUCUGGGAUAAGCCCGGGAAACUGGGUCUAAUACCGGAUAUGACUCCAUGACGCAUGUUGUGGGGUGGAAAGCCUUGUGCGGCUGAGGAUGGGCCCGCGGCCUAUCAGCUUGUUGGUGGGGUGAUGGCCUACCAAGGCGACGACGGUAGCCGGCCUGAGAGGGCGACCGGCCACACUGGGACUGAGACACGGCCCAGACUCCCACGGGAGGCAGCAGUGGGGAAUCUUGCGCAAUGGGCGAAAGCCUGACGCAGCGACGCCGCGUGAGGGAUGACGGCCU